AUUUUGCACAAAGGAAAAAUGACCCCAGAGGAUUUGCUAUAUAGCUGCCAAAGGUCAUCUGACAUAAUAGCUGAUGAAUUCAAGCCCAGUGGAUUUCAUUUGCAAUUUUCAAUUUACUGAGGCCUCCAAACCCCACGGUGAUAAAAGCUUCCCCUAUCGUGGCCUGUCACAAACAUCAAGAAACUGCACAAACCCACAAGAAAGAAAAAAGAGAAAGCUGUGCAUCCUCGCAGGUACAGAUAAGGAGAACAGGAAGAAAUGGUAUCAUGCAGAAAGAUUUUGCCAUUGGAAUCUCAGUUCUCUUCAUGCAAUUAAUGGACAUUGAUGUGUCAUACACAGAAGCGUACUCAGUGCCAUUUAAGGAGGCUGAUUUUAAAGAGGUGGCUUACAUAUAUGCACAUUAGGAGAUGAACAUUUCUUCUUCAUAGCAUAGAAGCUGAUGACUUUACUCUUGUUGCACAAAGACUCCUAUUCAUACAUGGAAUGUAUCCUUGGGCUGCAAAGCCAAAAAUCACGUUUCUAUAGCAAAGAUGUGCACUGAAAUAGAGUUACUUCAUAUCAUCUGAAAAAGGAUUCCAAAAUGACUUGAAGAGGCUAGCAAAAUACCCAGAAUCAAUAAGCUAAAUUCUCUGCUUCAAGAGGUGAGUUACGAUGAAUGAGAAAUGGUGAUUGCUUAGGUGGGAACCUAAAAGUCUUUACCAAUGUGUCAUGUGGCUCAACCAGUCAGAAUUAAACAUUCUUAAGACAGAAUUUUAUAAAGCAUAGUACUUCUCUCUUUUUUCCCCCCUCUCCUUAAGCCAGGUAGCAUUCACACAGAUAUAUAUAUGUAUAUAUAUAUUCC
rnacentral:lncRNA from 1 species